UACGUAGGGUGCGAGCGUUGUCCGGAAUUAUUGGGCGUAAAGGGCUCGUAGGCGGUUUGUCACGUCGGGAGUGAAAACUCAGGGCUUAACCCUGUUCGUGCUUCCGAUACGGGCAGACUAGAGGUAGGCAGGGGAGAAUGGAAUUCCUGGUGUAGCGGUGGAAUGCGCAGAUAUCAGGAGGAACACCGGUGGCGAAGGCGGUUCUCUGGGCCUAUUCUGACGCUGAGGAGCGAAAGCAUGGGGAGCGAACAGG
rnacentral:rRNA from 1 species